rnacentral:misc_RNA from 1 species
AGAAUCUGGGGCCAACACAGUAGGCGAUAAUAAUAGUAAUGUGAAUGUUCAACACACUUCGGAAACAUAUUCUCCUUACAAACUCCGCUGAUCACGACUUGCAACUGGAUAUUCCAACAAGCAAGAGGGUUCGGCACCUCCAUAGCUUCAGCUCUUCCCCUUGCCCUUGAAGUCAGACUGCCUGUACUCAUCUCCAUAGCAGAGUUGCAGACGACCGUCAAACCCGGCCGGAAACUGGUUUCCAGCAGAUGUAGCAGCCGUAGCUUGACCCAAGAAGAAUGGCAGGUUCGAUCCAUCGACCGACGAAGAGAGCCUCUGUAGGUGCUGAUGAGGCAACUGAAACGGCAAAUUGGACUGAAGGGUCCCCCUGUUGAGACCAGUAAAGUUGAGGUUAUAGCCGCCCCCUGGCCCAACACUCGUAAUCGGCACCGGAUGCUCCUGUGAGAAAGAGUACUGCAUUUCCGGAUCCGCG